UACAAGUGACAGAUACUUGAUUCUAACUAGCUCAAGCAAAACCAGAAUGAGUUGGCUCGUAUAACUGGGAAGAGAGAGCUGGUACAACCUCAGGCAAAGCUAGAUCCAGGGGCUAACCCAUGUGGUCUUAGUCCCGUCGCUCCAUUUCUCUGCUCUGAUUCCUUCUAUGUGUUGGCUUUGUUCUUGGGCAGGUUUUCUUCAAAGGAUCCCAAAGAUGACCUUUGGUGUGGAGUCCACAUCCUAUGGCUUGUGAUCAAAGAGAAGAGGAGCCUCUUUCUCUCGCUUCCACCUGUCUUUACUGUGGCCCUGCAAAGCGGAUGAGGAAACUAAAGCUGAUGCAUCGUCAAGGCCACCCAGCUAAUGCAUGAUGGAGCUACAAGUCAGACCCAGGUUGCAAUGAACAUUCUCUAGGACAGAUGCCUGAAGGUGGAAUUGCUAGAGCAAAGGCUCAUGAAAUGAGGUUUCCAGCAGUCCUCAGGCCACCAGCUCAGCUCACCGCUGAGGAGGCACCACCAAGAACUCUGCCAGAGGAGGUAUCCAUGGCAGGCUGGACUGGGACUCAAUCCAAAGGACAGGUGCCAUGGCAGACUCAUCAUUCUGACCACCCUGGCUUUGUUAUUGAUCCAGCAUGUCAUGUCUGAUGCUCUGCAAGAAGGCCCCUGGUGGCCUGCCUACAUCUCUCCAGACAUGCCCGAAUAUGUCUGAGUCCCCGUGACAUUGCAUCACCUCCUUCUUUGUCCUAAUGUGAUGCCAGGCACCAGAAAGCAGAGAGACGAGUCAAACCUUGUCCCUUCCCACCAGGAGCUCACGAUCUAAAAUUAAGAUCAAGAAAGUGGACACGAUUCAAUUUGGCAAGUGCUCUGCUGAGGCCUGUCCGACAUGCCGUGGAGCAUGGAGAAGAGGGUGGCUCCCCUAUAUUUAAUGGCCUAAGACAAAGGAGGUCAGCAGCCUAUGGAGGAAGCAGAACUUAUUUAGAAGAAAGAUGUUUCCAAAAAAUUGAGAAGAAUAUCAGAGCCUUUUAACAAACACAAAUGGAUUUCGUAUUUAUUCUGCUUUCGUAAUAGAAUUUGACCUAUCCUGAAAUGAACUAUUUUUUUAAAUUAUCCACCAGAUCACACAACAGAAGGCAUUAGGUUUUUUAUCCCCAGAGUUAACAUUUUAAUUUUAGAGACACAGUUAAAGAAAAACACUGAGACCAAGGCAUCUAGCAUUUCAAGAUGAAACAGUGAGACUUUAAAAUGGGGAAGUUCACCAGGCCGGGCCCCCAUCCCUGAUUUGGCUAAUUUGUAGGAACUGACCUUCUUAGAAGGAUUGGAAGUCUGAGCAAAGCCAACCACUAGCUUCCAAAUUGAUUUUCAAACCAAAAUUGGAACAGUUCUCAAAUGCUCCCGGGAUUUGGGGCUAUUAAUACCGAAGAACAAUGAGAAGGAAAAAGUGAGUGUGUAAGAGGUGAUUUAUGACCAAAAGGAAGUUGCAAGCUCAGAAACUUGUAUGCAACCCAAUCACAGACCCCUCUGGAGAUGUUCCAGGGAAGAGAUGGAGAAUGUAAAGGGAGAACAUUUCCGAGGGAUAUUAAAGCUUAUAAAAGGAGGUAAUGUGGGCUUUGGGCCUGAAAUGAGCGAGCGAGGAGCUGACCACGUUGAACUUCUCAUAACCACAGCAGGUUUUCGUGCAGCUGUCAUCGGCGCCUGAGACACCCCACGAGACUUUCCUUGUAUUUAUUUCUUACGAUUAGUCCAUCACUGAGCAGGUUAAAUGGCAGGAAGAGAGUCUCCCCAUCAGAGUGUCGGACUGUGACUGCUGCUGCUCAAACCUGUGGUCCUUCUCAGGUGUCAAGUUCUCGGGUGUCAAGGCCUCAGCUCCAGCUGCUAACCAGUCAGACCAGCCACGGCCAAGUUGGAGUGGAGGUACACAUGACAGUGAGGUUGGGCAGCGAGAGCCCGGCCAGGUGUUUGGGGAAUGGACACCUAAUCUCACCAUUUUUAUUUCGUAGUUCCUGCAAAAGUUAUUAUUAUUUACAGCUUUAUUGAGGUAGAAUUGAUAUGCAAUAAAUUGCACAUAUUUAAAGUGUGCAGCUUGGACACUUUAUAUAUACAUGUAUAUGUGUAUAGACGUGUGCAUAUACAUAUGUGCCUUUACUUGAAGGACUAGAGAAUCAGCUAAUCCAUUCGAUGUUUUGUCUGUGUGCAGGGAAUUCUUGUGGGAUGUCCACCAAUCACACUCCUUUGGAGUAACAAAAUCAAGAGGAGGAAAGUCUGCUGAGACGGGCUUCCAGCUAUCAAUCCUUGAGAGACAAGAGGUGGGACCAAUUGCAAAUAUAACCCAAGUUCCCCAGAUGACCAGGGCUGCAGGGAUGUCUGUGAAGAGGUUCAGCAACACCAAAGAAGCCUGUCGUGGAACGAUCUGUUGCAGCUUGAAGAAAAAAAAAAACACAAUGGAAAGAAAUUGCUCAAGAACUGAUUCCAUGAGGGAACAUGGAGAUUGUUAUCCAGGGAAUAUUGAUUCUAACAUUCAGAUUUAUUGUAAACAUGCUGAAAACAGAGGCUGAAAUGCCAGCGCUCUACAUGGAAAGCAAACACUCAUCCCACACACCGAGCUUCAUUGGGAAAGUAGUCUCUCUGUCGGUGGCGUGAGUCCAUCGUGAAACAAUCGUGUCUGUCACCGGUGCAGCAAGGCGAGCAGUAGGUGGGACUGUAGGUUGAUGUUCUCACCCCCAGCCACCCCCACCCGAGCCUGGCUGAGCCCUCACUGGGGGUCAAUGUCAACGGGAGCCAAUGGGACCAUGGCUACCCAUAUGAUCAAAUAAUAAUAAUAGCUAUCAUUCUUUGAAUGCUUACUAUGUUUCAACACUUUGCACACAUUUCUCAAUGCAUCCUUACAACAGUCUUUGAAGAUCUAUUAUUAACUCUACCUUACAGAUGAGGAAACAGAGACUCAGAGGGAUUAAUACAUAAGACCAAGGUCACACACUAGUGAGUUCGUCCAACUCCAGAGUCUGUGCACUAACCCAUCAUGCUUUGCUGGCUCUCAUCAGUGGUUUGCAUUGGGUCUAUGGGAUGAACCAAAGGCUAGUCUUCUGGCCUCAGACUGCAAGGAUCUGGGUGCUCCAGAGCCUCCUGGGUCUGCCAUCAGCCCCCUCUUGCCCCACUCAAGUCUGGGGAGGGAAUCUACAGGCACCUUCUUAACUGUAACCCCUGAAACCUAGGGCAGCCAUUGUGCCUCCCUAUAUGAUAGACCCUCCUCUGCUGCCCAUGGUUAUGGGAGGGAAUCAGAGAAAUUGUCACUAAGGUUUGUGCUCAUAUGGAUUGUCCCAAGCGAGGCAGUACUAGCACCUGGUGAUAACGUACCUACAUUGUUGAACAAUUGUCUAAACUAAAAGGAAGGGCCUUGAGAGCUAAGUUGGCGAGAUUACACCUUCUAUCCCGGAGUCCUAUGGUAAUAGAGGUGCCUUUUCAAAGUUCUGUUGUGUGCAUUAGCAUAUUUGCAUCUACGCAGACCAAGGAUAGCAAGUGGUUCUUACUUAAAAAUCUGAAGGUCCUAAGACUCCGUCAUGCUGACUCGUCUCCCUGUAGAUAGAACAGAGGAGAGAUGAGCUCCAAAGUGCCUGCUCUCUGUAAUGCUGAAUAGUGCAAGGCAUUCCCCUAAAGCAGCAUAUAAGAGUUGCGCCAGUAAAGGAAAAUUGAUCUUCCUGCAUGGAAGUGAAGGCAUGAUUUCAUUCAGAUCAGUAUAUAUUAACUGAGUCCCACUCUAUUCUGAUUUCUCUUAAACAAUGAAGGUUUAGGACCUGGCCACUGUCCUUAGGGAGUUUGUGUCUGCUUGGGGACUUGGGGCUGAGAAUGGGGGAGGGAGAGAAGAAGGAGCACUGCAGAAAGAGGUCUCAUUUGGGCCAGCCAGGCAUUUGCAUUCAAAUGAGAGUGACCUGUCUCUGUUUGCCUGGGACUGAGGGGUUUCUCAGGAUAAGGAACAGUCAGUGCUAAAGCCAGGAAAGACCUGGCAAAACCAGGACGAACUGGUCACCCUAAAAGUUGUUAAAUCUCUUUGUGCCUCAGUUUCCUUAUCUGUAAAAUGGAGAUAAUAACACCCAACUCUCAAAGUUGAUGCAAGAGAGAAUUGAGGGGCCGGCCCUGUGGCUUAGCGGUUAAGUGCGUUCGCUCCGCUACUGGCGGCCCUAGUUUGGAUCCCAGGCUCGCACCGAUGCACCGCUUCUCUGGCCAUGCUGAGGCCGCAUCCCACAUACAGCAACUAGAAGGAUGUGCAACUGUGACAUACAACUAUCUACUGGGGCUUUGGGGAGAAAAAUGGGAAAAAGAAAAGAGGAGGAUUGCCAAUAGAAGUUAGCUAAG